GGGCUGCACACUCAAAGAGAGGUAUUAGAAAGAUAUUAGAGAGGUAUUACAUCUAUCCACCAAUUUUUCGUCAAUCUCGACUUUUUAUUCAACCAAAAAUCGACCCUAUUAUUACUGUACUGUGAUCGUUAUUUGUAGGGUCGUAUGCUGAUUGUGGUUUUACCACGGUAAAACCAAGAUCACCUAUAGACAAAAUUAUUGCCGACGAAGUUUAUAAAAAACGACCUUAUUAUUAUUGCACUGUGAUCGUUAUUUGUAGAGUGAAAGCUGAUUGUCUAUUUGUGAUCGUAGUUUUACCACGGUAUUCCGUCAGUCAGCAUACGGCCCUACAAAUAACGAUCGCAUUGUAGUAAUAAUAAGGUCGAUUUUUGUUAGAAUAAAAAGUCAUGAUUGACGAAUGUUGGAUAGAUGUAAUAAUUAUCUCUCUAUUUAAUUUGUUCAUGGUGGCUACUCGAAGCGUGCAUAUCUUUGUGUGGAAGUAAAAAACCCAAGGAUUAUACGUAUGCUCAACUUGGACAAAAUCGAAGAUGGUUUACACAGAAGCAGAUCCUACCUACCUACCUACCCUACCUACCUACCUACCUGACGACCUACUUGACAUUCCACUAAUACUGCAACCCAAUCCAGUACAACCCAGUGGAAGAAUGACCAGAAAUGCAAAAAUAUUUCAAGAAACUAUGGGAUAUCUUCUCGUCGUAGUCAACAUGAGACACAUUC